rnacentral:lncRNA from 1 species
UUGUGGUUUUCUUGCGCUCGUGCGUCCGUCUGUGUGCUGUUGGGAAGAUGCACUAUUAUUUUUGAAUUAGUCAGAUGCGAACACAAUGAGUCGCAGGCUUCUGGCUGUUAUUGUUAUUGUGCACGUGUGUUUGCUUCGGGUCGACUGACUGCUGGCGCUCUGUCUUCACACAUUCAGUGUGUUUUGGCUUCAUUCGUCUCUCUCUCUCUCUCUGUGUUUCUUCACAGGAUCCGAGAUGUCGCUCGCCCCUUAAAUCACUUUCUGCACCACCGAAAGUGACUGCUGUCCUCAGCCCAUCUGUUUGCCUGCUCUUCACCUUCAGCCUCGGCCUGGUGUCAUCAUCUUCCAGGUUUUCCGCAGCUCCUGCGCCGCAUGUCCUCUGCAUUGUGGCUGCGUCACUCAUUAAUUUGAGCGUGCUUAUGAAGCAGGGGCCUUUGGGUAAUUA